CCAGGGGCUCACGCCCCUGGCUAUUAUGUGUCGCCCCUUCAGGGCU
rnacentral:sRNA from 1 species